rnacentral:rRNA from 1 species
UACGUAGGGUGCGAGCGUUGCCCGGAUUUAUUGGGCGUAAAGGGCGCGUAGGCGGUUCGUACAGUCAGACGUGAAAUUCCUGGGCUCAACCUGGGGGCUGCGUUUGAUACGUGCGGACUUGAGUGCGGAAGAGGGUCGUGGAAUUCCCAGUGUAGAGGUGAAAUUCGUAGAUAUUGGGAAGAACACCGGUGGCGAAGGCGGCGACCUGGUCCGAUACUGACGCUGAGGCGCGAAAGCGUGGGGAGCAAACAGG